UGUGAGCUCGAUGAGUAGGGCGGGACACGUGGUAUCCUGUCUGAAUAUGGGGGGACCAUCCUCCAAGGCUAAAUACUCCUGACUGACCGAUAGUGAACCAGUACCGUGAGGGAAAGGCGAAAAGAACCCCGGCGAGGGGAGUGAAAAAGAACCUGAAACCGUGUACGUACAAGCAGUGGGAGCACGCUUAGGCGUGUGACUGCGUACCUUUUGUAUAAUGGGUCAGCGACUUAUAUUCUGUAGCAAGGUUAACCGAAUAGGGGAGCCGAAGGGAAACCGAGUCUUAACUGGGCGUUAAGUUGCAGGGUAUAGACCCGAAACCCGGUGAUCUAGCCAUGGGCAGGUUGAAGGUUGGGUAACACUAACUGGAGGACCGAACCGACUAAUGUUGAAAAAUUAGCGGAUGACUUGUGGCUGGGGGUGAAAGGCCAAUCAAACCGGGAGAUAGCUGGUUCUCCCCGAAAGCUAUUUAGGUAGCGCCUCGUGAAUUCAUCUCCGGGGGUAGAGCACUGUUUCGGCAAGGGGGUCAUCCCGACUUACCAACCCGAUGCAAACUGCGAAUACCGGAGAAUGUUAUCACGGGAGACACACGGCGGGUGCUAACGUCCGUCGUGAAGAGGGAAACAACCCAGACCGCCAGCUAAGGUCCCAAAGUCAUGGUUAAGUGGGAAACGAUGUGGGAAGGCCCAGACAGCCAGGAUGUUGGCUUAGAAGCAGCCAUCAUUUAAAGAAAGCGUAAUAGCUCACUGGUCGAGUCGGCCUGCGCGGAAGAUGUAACGGGGCUAAACCAUGCACCGAAGCUGCGGCAGCGACGCUUAUGCGUUGUUGGGUAGGGGAGCGUUCUGUAAGCCUGUGAAGGUGUGCUGUGAGGCAUGCUGGAGGUAUCAGAAGUGCGAAUGCUGACAUAAGUAACGAUAAAGCGGGUGAAAAGCCCGCUCGCCGGAAGACCAAGGGUUCCUGUCCAACGUUAAUCGGGGCAGGGUGAGUCGACCCCUAAGGCGAGGCCGAAAGGCGUAGUCGAUGGGAAACAGGUUAAUAUUCCUGUACUUGGUGUUACUGCGAAGGGGGGACGGAGAAGGCUAUGUUGGCCGGGCGACGGUUGUCCCGGUUUAAGCGUGUAGGCUGGUUUUCCAGGCAAAUCCGGAAAAUCAAGGCUGAGGCGUGAUGACGAGGCACUACGGUGCUGAAGCAACAAAUGCCCUGCUUCCAGGAAAAGCCUCUAAGCAUCAGGUAACAUCAAAUCGUACCCCAAACCGACACAGGUGGUCAGGUAGAGAAUACCAAGGCGCUUGAGAGAACUCGGGUGAAGGAACUAGGCAAAAUGGUGCCGUAACUUCGGGAGAAGGCACGCUGAUAUGUAGGUGAAGCGACUUGCUCGUGGAGCUGAAAUCAGUCGAAGAUACCAGCUGGCUGCAACUGUUUAUUAAAAACACAGCACUGUGCAAACACGAAAGUGGACGUAUACGGUGUGACGCCUGCCCGGUGCCGGAAGGUUAAUUGAUGGGGUCAGCGCAAGCGAAGCUCUUGAUCGAAGCCCCGGUAAACGGCGGCCGUAACUAUAACGGUCCUAAGGUAGCGAAAUUCCUUGUCGGGUAAGUUCCGACCUGCACGAAUGGCGUAAUGAUGGCCAGGCUGUCUCCACCCGAGACUCAGUGAAAUUGAACUCGCUGUGAAGAUGCAGUGUACCCGCGGCAAGACGGAAAGACCCCGUGAACCUUUACUAUAGCUUGACACUGAACAUUGAGCCUUGAUGUGUAGGAUAGGUGGGAGGCUUAGAAGUGUGGACGCCAGUCUGCAUGGAGCCGACCUUGAAAUACCACCCUUUAAUGUUUGAUGUUCUAACGUUGACCCGUAAUCCGGGUUGCGGACAGUGUCUGGUGGGUAGUUUGACUGGGGCGGUCUCCUCCUAAAGAGUAACGGAGGAGCACGAAGGUUGGCUAAUCCUGGUCGGACAUCAGGAGGUUAGUGCAAUGGCAUAAGCCAGCUUGACUGCGAGCGUGACGGCGCGAGCAGGUGCGAAAGCAGGUCAUAGUGAUCCGGUGGUUCUGAAUGGAAGGGCCAUCGCUCAACGGAUAAAAGGUACUCCGGGGAUAACAGGCUGAUACCGCCCAAGAGUUCAUAUCGACGGCGGUGUUUGGCACCUCGAUGUCGGCUCAUCACAUCCUGGGGCUGAAGUAGGUCCCAAGGGUAUGGCUGUUCGCCAUUUAAAGUGGUACGCGAGCUGGGUUUAGAACGUCGUGAGACAGUUCGGUCCCUAUCUGCCGUGGGCGCUGGAGAACUGAGGGGGGCUGCUCCUAGUACGAGAGGACCGGAGUGGACGCAUCACUGGUGUUCGGGUUGUCAUGCCAAUGGCACUGCCCGGUAGCUAAAUGCGGAAGAGAUAAGUGCUGAAAGCAUCUAAGCACGAAACUUGCCCCGAGAUGAGUUCUCCCUGACUCCUUGAGAGUCCUGAAGGAACGUUGAAGACGACGACGUUGAUAGGCCGGGUGUGUAAGCGCAGCGAUGCGUUGAGCUAACCGGUACUAAUGAACCGUGAGGCUUAACCUUACAACGCCGAAGCUGUU
rnacentral:rRNA from 1 species